rnacentral:rRNA from 1 species
AGGAUGAACGCUGGCGGCGUGCUUAACACAUGCAAGUCGAACGGUGAAGUGAGGAGCUUGCUCCUUGCGGAUCAGUGGCGAACGGGUGAGUAACACGUGAGUAACCUGCCCUUGACUCUGGGAUAAGCACUGGAAACGGUGUCUAAUACCGGAUACGACCUCCGAAGGCAUCUUCUGGAAGUGGAAAGAAUUUCGGUCAAGGAUGGACUCGCGGCCUAUCAGCUAGUUGGUGAGGUAACGGCCCACCAAGGCGACGACGGGUAGCCGGCCUGAGAGGGUGACCGGCCACACUGGGACUGAGACACGGCCCAGACUCCUACGGAGGCAGCAGUGGGGAAUAUUGCACAAUGGGCGCAAGCCUGAUGCAGCAACGCCGCGUGAGGGAUGACGGUCUUCGGAUUGUAAACCUCUUUCAGUAGGGACGAAUGUAGACGGUACCUGCAGAAGAAGCACCGGCCAACUACGUGCCAGCAGCCGCGGUAA